CCAGUAAUUGCCCUUCCUGAGCGGGAAUCCCACCCAUGUCAGAGGAAGGAGUUCCACAGCUUUAAAAUGCCACUUGAUCAUCUUUCCUAUUCGCAUGUGUUGUCAAUCUGUCUUUGCCUUUCAGAUUCAUUGACUUCUGAGACAAAUCUUUCACCUAUGCUUACUGUGAUCAAGUCAGCUCCAAACUUUGUUCCUUUCGUGAACUGAAUCCAUCAGGCUCCUUAAAUCUUAUUCAAGAUCUUCAUAGUAGUGGAAAAUCCUUAGCAGGUAUAAGUCAAGUGAUCUCCAUGGUCUCCAGGGAAACAAGACACAUUUACAUCAUCUCAGAAUCUGGCCUCCUUUUUUUAUCUUCUGUUUGCUGUAUCUAUUGACCAUUGAAAAGGAUGAGUUAUUUCGCAAAUACACAUUAUGUUUGCCCCACUGCAGUUACCAGGAAUUUACAGGGACAUGGGAGAUGCAGUUCAUAGGAGAAACAGUCAUGGCCAUGCACAGG